rnacentral:snRNA from 1 species
AGCUUUGCGCAGUGGCAGUAUCGUAGCCAAUGAGGUUUAUCCGAGGCGCGAUUAUUGCUAAUUGAAAUAUGGGAAUGAAAGAGUCAAAUAAACUGAAAUGAAAUCAAACUCCUUUU